rnacentral:rRNA from 1 species
CUACGGGGUGCUCCAGUGAGGAAUAUUGCACAAUGGGGGGAACCCUGAUGCAGCAACGCCGCGUGGAGGAUGACGCAUUUCGGUGUGUAAACUCCUUUUAUAUGUCAAGAAAAUGACGGUAGCAUAUGAAUAAGCACCAGCUAACUCCGUGUCAGCAGCCGCGGUAAUACGGAGGGUGCAAGCGUUACUCGGAAUCACUGGGCGUAAAGGACGCGUAGGCGGGUUGGAAAGUCAGGUGUGAAAUCCUACAGCUUAACUGUAGAACUGCACUUGAAACUUCUAAUCUAGAGUAUGGGAGGGGGAGAUGGAAUUAGUGGUGUAGGGGUAAAAUCCGUAGAUAUCACUAGGAAUACCUAAAGCGAAGGCGAUCUCCUGGAACAUUACUGACGCUAAGGCGUGAAAGCGUGGGGAGCAAACAGGAUUAGAUACCCUAGUAGUC